rnacentral:rRNA from 1 species
GCCCAGACUCCUACGGGAGGCAGCAGUGGGGAAUAUUGCACAAUGGGGGGAACCCUGAUGCAGCGACGCCGCGUGGGUGAAGGAGCACCUCGGUGCGUAAAGCCCUCUCGGCAGGGAAGAAACAGACGGUACCUGACUAAGAAGCCCCGGCUAACUACGUGCCAGCAGCCGCGGUAAUACGUAGGGGGCAAGCGUUAUCCGGAUUUACUGGGUGUAAAGGGGGCGCAGACGGCGAUGCAAGCCAGGAGUGAAAGCCCGGGGCCCAACCCCGGGACUGCUCUUGGAACUGCGUGGCUGGAGUGCAGGAGGGGCAGGCGGAAUUCCUAGUGUAGCGGUGAAAUGCGUAGAUAUUAGGAAGAACACCAGUGGCGAAGGCGGCUUUCUGGACUGAAACUGACGCUGAGGCACGAAAGCGUGGGGAGCGAACAGGAUUAGAUACCCCCGUAC